rnacentral:rRNA from 1 species
GAGAGUGGGUAGUCCGCACGAGCGCACCCUGUCCUUAGUUGCCAGCACAUAAUGGUGGGGACUCUAAGGAGACUGCCUGGGAUAACCAGGAGGAAGGUGGGGAUGAUGUCAAGUCAGUAUGUCCCUUAUGUCCAGGGCUACACACGUGUUACAAUGGCCGGUACAAUGGGCUGCGAACCUGCGAGGGUAAGCCAAUCCCAAAAAACCGGCCCCAGUUCAGAUUGGAGUCUGCAACUCGACUCCAUGAAGGUGGAAUCGCUAGUAAUCGCGGAUCAGCACGCCGCGGUGAAUACGUUCCCGGGUCUUGUACACACCGCCCGUCAAGCCAUGGAAGUCGGCAGUACCCGAAGCCGGUGUCCCAACUCUUCGGAGAGGGAGCCGUCGAAGGUAAGGCUGGUAACUAGGGCUAAGUCGUAACAAGGUAGCCGUACCGGAAGGUGCGGCUGGAUCACCUCCUUUCU